UACAGAGGGGGGCAAGCGUUGUCCGGAAUCACUGGGCGUAAAGGGCGCGUAGGCGGCUCAUGAAGGCUGUGGUGAAAGUCCGGGGCUCAACCUCGGAUCGGCCGUGGCGACUCGUGGGCUGGAGCACUGUAGAGGCGGGUGGAAUUCCUGGUGUAGCGGUGGAAUGCGUAGAUAUCAGGAAGAACACCGGUGGCGAAGGCGGCCUGCUGGGCUAUGGCUGACACUGAGGCGCGACAGCGUGGGGAGCAAACAGG
rnacentral:rRNA from 1 species